GACGAACGCUGGCGGCGUGCUUAACACAUGCAAGUCGAACGGAAAGGCCUCUUUCGGGGGGUACUCGAGUGGCGAACGGGUGAGUAACACGUGAGUAACCUGCCCUUGACUUUGGGAUAACUUCAGGAAACUGGGGCUAAUACCGGAUAGGAGCUCCUGCUGCAUGGUGGGGGUUGGAAGUUUCGGCGGUUGGGGAUGGACUCGCGGCUUAUCAGCUUGUUGGUGGGGUAGUGGCUUACCAAGGCUUUGACGGGUAGCCGGCCUGAGAGGGUGACCGGCCACAGUGGGACUGAGAUACGGCCCAGACUCCUACGGGAGGCAGCAGUGGGGAAUAUUGCACAAUGGGUGGAAGCCUGAUGCAGCAACGCCGGGUGCGGGAUGACGGCCUUCGGGUUGUAAACCGCUUUCGCUCAUGACGAAGCUUUGUGUGACGGUAGUGGGUAAAGAAGCACCGGCUAACUACGUG
rnacentral:rRNA from 1 species